rnacentral:rRNA from 1 species
GACGAACGCUGGCGGCGUGCUUAACACAUGCAAGUCGAACGGAAAGGCCCUGCUUGCAGGGUACUCGAGUGGCGAACGGGUGAGUAACACGUGGGUGAUCUGCCCUGCACUUCGGGAUAAGCCUGGGAAACUGGGUCUAAUACCGGAUAGGAGCCAUUUUUAGUGUGAUGGUUGGAAAGUUUUUUCGGUGUAGGAUGAGCUCGCGGCCUAUCAGCUUGUUGGUGGGGUAAUGGCCUACCAAGGCGGCGACGGGUAGCCGGCCUGAGAGGGUGGACGGCCACAUUGGGACUGAGAUACGGCCCAGACUCCUACGGGAGGCAGCAGUGGGGAAUAUUGCACAAGGGGCGCAAGCCGGAUGCAGCGACGCCGCGGGGGGGAUGACGGCCUUCGGGUUGGAAACUCCUUUCGCUAGGGACGAAGCUUUUUGUGACGGUACCUAGAGAAGAAGCACCGGCUAACUACGUG